UGGGGAAUAUUGCACAAUGGGCGCAAGCCUGAUGCAGCCAUGCCGCGUGUAUGAAGAAGGCCUUCGGGUUGUAAAGUACUUUCAGCGGGGAGGAAGGUGUUGAGGUUAAUAACCUCAGCAAUUGACGUUACCCGCAGAAGAAGCACCGGCUAACUCCGUGCCAGCAGCCGCGGUAAUACGGAGGGUGCAAGCGUUAAUCGGAAUUACUGGGCGUAAAGCGCACGCAGGCGGUCUGUCAAGUCGGAUGUGAAAUCCCCGGGCUCAACCUGGGAACUGCAUCCGAAACUGGCAGGCUUGAGUCUUGUAGAGGGGGGUAGAAUUCCAGGUGUAGCGGUGAAAUGCGUAGAGAUCUGGAGGAAUACCGGUGGCGAAGGCGGCCCCCUGGACUAAUACUGACACUGAGGUGCGAAAGCGUGGGGAGCAAACA
rnacentral:rRNA from 1 species